rnacentral:tRNA from 1 species
UCCGGUGUGGUCUAGUGGCUAGGAUACCUGGCUCUCACCCAGGAGGACCGGGUUCGAUUCCCGGUACCGGAA